UACGUAGGUGGCAAGCGUUGUCCGGAUUUACUGGGCGUAAAGAGCGCGCAGGCGGUCGUUCAAGUCGCGUGUGAAAGCCCCCGGCUCAACUGGGGAGGGUCACGCGAUACUGAUCGACUCGAAGGCAGGAGAGGGAAGUGGAAUUCUCGGUGUAGUGGUGAAAUGCGUAGAUAUCGGGAGGAACACCAGUGGCGAAGGCGGCUCACUGGACCGGAACUGACGCUGAGGCGCGAAAGCGUGGGGAGCAAACAGG
rnacentral:rRNA from 1 species